AUCUCUUCUUCUAAAUAAUGCCUCUCCAUGACAUUUUUCUCCAACAUAAACAGCUGAGUUGCAGGAUUGUUUAAUCCCCUGAGAGCAGGGUUUGGUUGGAGAUUCCAAAAGCGCUGGGAGUGCAUUGCAUCCCUGGCCUGUGCUCCAGGCAUGUGGCACAGAUAACCAGGUUAUCUCCCAGGCAGGGAAAUCCCAGGCCAUUUCCAUAAUUUAUAGAUAAGCUCAGCUGAAUGAACCCGACACGAAAUUGUCACCGUCUGUUGAACAAACUGUGUGGAACUGUUGAACAAAGGGACAUUUUCGCAUCUGGCAUCACACAACAGAGGCCCCACAUGAGCAGCUGUGCAAAGCUGGGGCUGAGGAUGUUUACAAGAAACCUUCUUUUUGUCGGGGAAGUCACUCAUUGAUUCCUGUCUCUCACCAAAUGCACCUGAGGCCUCGCCAUGGCCCAGAGGUUUAAAUGUUACAGCCCAGCUCGCAGCCAUCCAUUAACCUCUCUCAGGACCUUAAGCUCAGUAUCCAGGCAGUUUCCCUCUCCAUCUGCCACAAGGAGCUGCAAUUCAGGGAAUUAUUUCAGUUUAAGAUGGCUGCUCUCAGAGAAAAGAAACACAUGGUGUGUCCUACCCUUGGAUUUGGACUUCCUGUGUCUUUUAUCUUCAUCUGAAACCGAAGUCCUUCACUCUCCAGGGAUGCUGUUGCUCUUUAUUUGUGAGCAGGUGCAGCAGCUAUGAAAGGAGCAUGUUCCUGCUCUGUCAGAACUCACUUUUUGGCUGAAGGGACCACAAAGGGAAAUUCCAAAACAUCUGUUAUUCACAGACUAACCGAUCCGAAUGUCUUGUGAGCACUUGUGCCACCAAGCUUCUCAAGGAGAAAAGGAAAAAGUUUUUUUGUCUCAAAUAUCCCUGACAAUAAACACAGAGACAACACCUGUGAAACCAUCAGAGUUUGCCUCAACUUCCUGCUGCAAAACCUCAGACUCUUUGCAAAGGGCUCCAGAAAGUUCUCAGCCAGGUUCUCAACUCUUGUACCUGCUAACCUGCCCCAUACAAAGCUAAAUUCAUUUUUACUGCACUGCAGGUGCAGGUUGGAAAGGCAGAGCUGCUCAAAACGCACGAAAAAUUCCACGUUGCAAACAUGGAAACAGCUCCUGAGAGACAGAGAAACUCUUGAAAAUAGCUCCUUGAUUCAUUAGGAACAACAGCAAGGUUGACACAUCCCCCACGUUUCAUCCCACCCGUGGAUUCAUUACAGGCACCAGAGAGAUGCAGGCGCUGAGGAACCGAAUUCCUUCCCCCACCUUUCUUCCCCACAAAGCCUCUCCCUGGGUUUUAUCUGUAACUUCAGCAACAGCUUGAAUUGCUGGGGAACUUGACAGGGUGAUUUAUCAUAGCUUGUUGCAUUUUUCUCAAAACAUCCCAAGCAGAUGAUAUUAUGAUAUGAAAGAGGGGGGGAAAAACAAGAUGUAGUCAUUGUACAUGACAAAAGCUCAUUAUUAGGGCAUCACAAAACAAAAUAGAAGAAGAUUGGGGCAGAUAAUGACAACCAGUGCUGAAGAUAGACAAAAAAGAGAGAAAACCAGGCAAUUGAAUUUUUUAAAAAAACUGUAAAAAUAGGAUGGGAUGGACCUCUAACCCAGCCUUCCCUGAAGGGAGGUUGGGCUCUACCUGUGUCGGCCCCAACAGAUGUUUGUGACAGAGUCCACAGCAACACCAAAGUCCUGUGCUAAGUAAUCACCUGCAAAAACAUCAGUUCAAUUCUGAAAAGCCCCACACUGAGCCACAACUGCUGAUGAAACAGAAUUUAAGAGGGAAGAAAUAACUUGCCAUAUUGCAAAGGAAUAGGAACCCCUUGGUGAUACAGAAAGAGCUGACUCUAUGAAUUCCGGGGGCUUGGGGAAGGGGCCUAGGAAAAAAUAUUUCUUUUCUCUUCAGAAUUGUCUCUGCUUUGGAAUAUUCUUCUCCUCUGAGCUUGCUUUGGGAUGGCACAUUUCAUGACAUCAUUUUACAGCGAUAUUAGACAAAACAAUACCGAAUAAAUAGAUCUGAAACAUAAAA